CAUUGGCCGUUAAGGCACAUCAGAGAACAAAUGGGCUGCCUGUCCUUGUGAAGGCUGGGGGCUGUGCAGAUAUUUGUGGGCACUGCUUUGGGUUACAUGGUUUGCUUUUCAGACUUGAAAAGGGAACAAAGAGUUACUCCUUCUUGAGCAAGGAACACCACUGACAUGUCAGAGAAAAAUUCGCUGAAUUGCUAUUAAUAAAAAAAGAAAUUACCAGUCCAGUGAGAUCAGACAUCUAGUUGUAGGUGUGACAGAAGAUAUCAUAGAAUGGUUUAGUUGGAAGGGACCUUUAAGAUCAUCUGAUUCCAACCCCCUGCUAUAUGCAGGGACACCUCCCUGUAGACCAGGUUGCUCACAGCCACGUCCAGCCUGGCCUUGAAUGCCUCUGGGGUGGGUGCAUUCACAACCUCACUGGGCAACCUGUUCCAGUUCACAGUCAAUUCCAAUAGAACACUACGUUGCAGCACCACCAGAGACUUCUAUGAAUACCUAUAUCUCUACACACAGAUAACUGCAUUUUUUUGGAUGAAAAUUCCCUGUGUGGUUUCAACCCUAAAAGAUCUCUUUUUCCCCCAGAAGUGUCAAGCAGUCAGAAAUCCCACAGAAGUUCACAGGAGCUGCAGGUGCUGAAUGCUUUUUCAAUCAAGCUCUUCCAUUUCUGUGUUCACUUGCAUAACCAAAAUGACACCAUUACAAGCUGAAACUUUCUGCGUAACCAGUCUCUAAGGAGAGUCAGGCUGAAGUCUGGUUUUCUGACUGAAUAAGUGAAAUGAUUGUGGUGUUACACAGUGAGUUUUACUCUCAGAUACCCACAGGUGCUGUGCUGCUGGCAGCCAAACCCCAUACCCUGUGCUGAAGCUGUGCAUGUACUCUUCUCUACUGAGUAUUCAUAGCUGCAGUUUUCCAAAUGAGGAAUCUACCCCGUUGGGUACUUUGGACAUUGCCUUUUCAAACCUGCAGCUGGCAAUGCAAGAAAAAAUAAAAGCAGGACUUU
rnacentral:lncRNA from 1 species